CUUUUUGCAUGUACCUUAUGAAUAAGGACCGGCUAAUUCCGUGCCAGCAGCCGCGGUAAUACGGAAGGUCCGGGCGUUAUCCGGAUUUAUUGGGUUUAAAGGGAGCGUAGGCCGGAGAUUAAGCGUGUUGUGAAAUGUAGACGCUCAACGUCUGCACUGCAGCGCGAACUGGUUUCCUUGAGUACGCACAAAGUGGGCGGAAUUCGUGGUGUAGCGGUGAAAUGCUUAGAUAUCACGAAGAACUCCGAUUGCGAAGGCAGCUCACUGGA
rnacentral:rRNA from 1 species